rnacentral:lncRNA from 1 species
GAUUGUUAGGUCACUGUGUCAGAAGGGCAGGUUACAUAACAUAGAAAGUAUUACCUAGAAUAUUAGAAUGAUUGUUAUCUGUUCCAAAUGUAGACAUUACUGAAUUGGCCACUCUUUCCUUUUUGAAAAUGAAUCGGUUUUAAGAGAAUGUCUUGACAGUCGUAAAAAUAUAUAAUAUGGGAUAAUCAAGUAUACUGUGUUUAUAGAAGUGUGAUUUGAAAUGUACAGUGCUUUACUCGUUUCUGUCUCCAUACAUUUCUGCUUGCACCUUACUGUCUUUUGGAUGAUAAUGCUUUCUAUAAGCCAAAGAAGAAGGCCGAGUCAGCCAACCCAGCCACCAAUGGUGCCGAUGCCAAGCCCAAAAAGAGCAAGAACAAGAAGAUCGAAGAGCUGUCUGGAGAAGAGAAUCCUGCUGUUCAAAGUAUGGACUGCUCUGCACAGUUUAAAUGACAUACAGUGCCUUGCGAAAGUAUUCGGCCCCCUUGAACUUUGCGACCUUUUUCCACAUUUCAGG